rnacentral:rRNA from 1 species
GACGAACGCUGGCGGCGUGCUUAACACAUGCAAGUCGAACGGAAAGGCCCUGCUUUUGUGGGGUGCUCGAGUGGCGAACGGGUGAGUAACACGUGAGUAACCUGCCCUUUACUUUGGGAUACCUUCAGGAAACUGGGGCUAAUACCGGAUAGGAGCUCCUGCUGCAUGGUGGGGGUUGGAAAGUUUCGGCGGUUGGGGAUGGACUCGCGGCUUAUCAGCUUGUUGGUGGGGUAGUGGAUUACCAAGGCUUUGACGGGUAGCCGGCCUGAGAGGGUGACCGGCCACAUUGGGACUGAGAUACGGCCCAGACGCCUACGGGAGGCAGCAGUGGGGAAUAUUGCACAAUGGGCGGAAGCCUGAUGCAGCAACGCCGCGUGCGGGAUGACGGCCUGCGGGUUGUAAACCGCUUUCGCCUGGGACGAAGCGUGAGUGACGGUAAUGGGUAAAGAAGCACCGGCUAACUACGCG